rnacentral:rRNA from 1 species
GUUUGAUCCUGGCUCAGGAUGAACGCUAGCGGCAGGCUUAAUACAUGCAAGUCGAACGGGAUUCGGGGUAGCAAUACUUUGAUGAGAGUGGCGCACGGGUGCGUAACGCGUAUGCAACCUACCUUUAACAGGGGAAUAGCCCCGAGAAAUCGGGAUUAAUACUCCGUAACAUUGCGGUGUGGCAUCACACUGCACUUAAAGCUGAGGCGGUUAAAGAUGGGCAUGCGUGACAUUAGCUAGUUGGUGAGGUAACGGCUCACCAAGGCAACGAUGUCUAGGGGUCCUGAGAGGGUUAUCCCCCACACUGGUACUGAGACACGGACCAGACUCCUACGGGAGGCAGCAGUAAGGAAUAUUGGUCAAUGGGCGCAAGCCUGAACCAGCCAUGCCGCGUGCAGGAAGACGGCCCUAUGGGUUGUAAACUGCUUUUGUCAGGGAAUAAACCCCCGCUCGUGAGCGGGGCUGAAGGUACCUGAAGAAUAAGCAUCGGCUAACUCCGUGCCAGCAGCCGCGGUAAUACGGAGGAUGCAAGCGUUAUCCGGAUUCAUUGGGUUUAAAGGGUGCGCAGGCGGAUUGGUAAGUCAGGGGUGAAAUCCCACAGCUCAACUGUGGAACUGCCUUUGAUACUGUCAGUCUAGAGUAUAGUUGAAGUUGGCGGAAUGUGUCAUGUAGCGGUGAAAUGCUUAGAUAUGACACAGAACACCGAUCGCGAAGGCAGCUAGCUAAGCUAUAACUGACGCUCAUGCACGAAAGCGUGGGGAUCAAACAGGAUUAGAUACCCUGGUAGUCCACGCUGUAAACGAUGAUUACUCGAUGUUGGCGAUACACAGUCAGCGUCUGAGCGAAAGCAAUAAGUAAUCCACCUGGGGAGUACGAUCGCAAGAUUGAAACUCAAAGGAAUUUGACGGGGGCCCGCACAAGCGGA